rnacentral:piRNA from 1 species
AACCGAUGGACCAAUAAUUUCGGAGAA